CCAGCAAACAGCUCUCUCCCUGCACUCAAAACCAGCCUGGGAGAACCUGAAAGUCCGGUUGCCCGCCAUGGCCCCGCGCCCCGACCCCCACCAGUUCCCCCAGACUCCUCUGCUAAGGGCCGAUGGGGAGGAGAAAGCCUGGCCACCCAGGCUUCCGAUCUCUCUGGGCUCACCGAGAAGGAAGGUGGCCACCAUGGGGCGCGGGCUGCCCCUCUUCCUCCUCCUGAGCCUCCUCAGCAGCGCUGACGGAACGGGCCCAGGUCUGACUUUGCGGCUGAAACUGAAAGAGUCUUCCCUGGCAAACGGCUCCUACGACUCCGGCUUCCCCGCACGGCUUGAGGAGGCCACGCCAGAGAGCUGGAUCGGAAGAGGAGCAGCCAGGACACAAACUGGUACCCAUAUGAGAUGCCGGCACUGCAGACCAAGGCUUAGCCUACCACGCCACCACAUCGGCCUGAUUAAACCUCAUCUUUUUACAAUGGGUUCUCCCCUGACCCCUGUUAGAUACCACAACCUGCCCCCUACCCCCCUACUCCCCCUGUCAAGUUCCCUUACACUGUUCUACCCUUCUCUUCCCCCCAGCAGUUGUGACCUGGCCCUCAGCGUUUUCUGCACCUACAGAUUGUAGCAACCAUGGAUGGAAAAUAUUAGGGGAAAAAAAGACUCUACUGAA